CGGAAACGAACGCUAAUACCGCAUACGUCCUACGGGAGAAAGCAGGGGACCUUCGGGCCUUGCGCUAUCWYAUGAGCCUAGGUCGGAUUAGCUAGUUGGUGAGGUAAUGGCUCACCAAGGCGACGAUCCGUAACUGGUCUGAGAGGAUGAUCAGUCACACUGGAACUGAGACACGGUCCAGACUCCUACGGGAGGCAGCAGUGGGGAAUAUUGGACAAUGGGCGAAAGCCUGAUCCAGCCAUGCCGCGUGUGUGAAGAAGGUCUUCGGAUUGUAAAGCACUUUAAGUUGGGAGGAAGGGCAUUAACCUAAUACGUUAGUGUUUUGACGUUACCGACAGAAUAAGCACCGGCUAACUCUGUGCCAGCAGCCGCGGUAAUACAGAGGGUGCAAGCGUUAAUCGGAAUUACUGGGCGUAAAGCGCGCGUAGGUGGUUUGUUAAGUUGGAUGUGAAAUCCCCGGGCUCAACCUGGGAACUGCAUUCAAAACUGACUGACUAGAGUAUGGUAGAGGGUGGUGGAAUUUCCUGUGUAGCGGUGAAAUGCGUAGAUAUAGGAAGGAACACCAGUGGCGAAGGCGACCACCUGGACUAAUACUGACACUGAGGUGCGAAAGCGUGGGGAGCAAACAGGAUUAG
rnacentral:rRNA from 1 species